GGGUUGUGAGGUUAAGCGACUAAGCGUACACGGUGGAUGCCCUGGCAGUCAGAGGCGAUGAAGGACGUGCUAAUCUGCGAUAAGCGUCGGUGAGGUGAUAUGAACCGUUAUAACCGGCGAUUUCCGAAUGGGGAAACCCAGUGUGUUUCGACACACUAUCAUUAACUGAAUCCAUAGGUUAAUGAGGCGAACCGGGGGAACUGAAACAUCUAAGUACCCCGAGGAAAAGAAAUCAACCGAGAUUCCCCCAGUAGCGGCGAGCGAACGGGGAGGAGCCCAGAGCCUGAAUCAGUGUGUGUGUUAGUGGAAGCGUCUGGAAAGGCGCGCGAUACAGGGUGACAGCCCCGUACACAAAAAUGCACAUGCUGUGAGCUCGAUGAGUAGGGCGGGACACGUGGUAUCCUGUCUGAAUAUGGGGGGACCAUCCUCCAAGGCUAAAUACUCCUGACUGACCGAUAGUGAACCAGUACCGUGAGGGAAAGGCGAAAAGAACCCCGGCGAGGGGAGUGAAAAAGAACCUGAAACCGUGUACGUACAAGCAGUGGGAGCCUCUUAAUGGGGUGACUGCGUACCUUUUGUAUAAUGGGUCAGCGACUUAUAUUCUGUAGCAAGGUUAACCGAAUAGGGGAGCCGAAGGGAAACCGAGUCUUAACUGGGCGUUAAGUUGCAGGGUAUAGACCCGAAACCCGGUGAUCUAGCCAUGGGCAGGUUGAAGGUUGGGUAACACUAACUGGAGGACCGAACCGACUAAUGUUGAAAAAUUAGCGGAUGACUUGUGGCUGGGGGUGAAAGGCCAAUCAAACCGGGAGAUAGCUGGUUCUCCCCGAAAGCUAUUUAGGUAGCGCCUCGUGAAUUCAUCUCCGGGGGUAGAGCACUGUUUCGGCAAGGGGGUCAUCCCGACUUACCAACCCGAUGCAAACUGCGAAUACCGGAGAAUGUUAUCACGGGAGACACACGGCGGGUGCUAACGUCCGUCGUGAAGAGGGAAACAACCCAGACCGCCAGCUAAGGUCCCAAAGUCAUGGUUAAGUGGGAAACGAUGUGGGAAGGCCCAGACAGCCAGGAUGUUGGCUUAGAAGCAGCCAUCAUUUAAAGAAAGCGUAAUAGCUCACUGGUCGAGUCGGCCUGCGCGGAAGAUGUAACGGGGCUAAACCAUGCACCGAAGCUGCGGCAGCGACACUGUGUGUUGUUGGGUAGGGGAGCGUUCUGUAAGCCUGUGAAGGUGUACUGUGAGGUAUGCUGGAGGUAUCAGAAGUGCGAAUGCUGACAUAAGUAACGAUAAAGCGGGUGAAAAGCCCGCUCGCCGGAAGACCAAGGGUUCCUGUCCAACGUUAAUCGGGGCAGGGUGAGUCGACCCCUAAGGCGAGGCCGAAAGGCGUAGUCGAUGGGAAACAGGUUAAUAUUCCUGUACUUGGUGUUACUGCGAAGGGGGGACGGAGAAGGCUAUGUUGGCCGGGCGACGGUUGUCCCGGUUUAAGCGUGUAGGCUGGUUUUCCAGGCAAAUCCGGAAAAUCAAGGCUGAGGCGUGAUGACGAGGCACUACGGUGCUGAAGCAACAAAUGCCCUGCUUCCAGGAAAAGCCUCUAAGCAUCAGGUAACAUCAAAUCGUACCCCAAACCGACACAGGUGGUCAGGUAGAGAAUACCAAGGCGCUUGAGAGAACUCGGGUGAAGGAACUAGGCAAAAUGGUGCCGUAACUUCGGGAGAAGGCACGCUGAUAUGUAGGUGAAGCGACUUGCUCGUGGAGCUGAAAUCAGUCGAAGAUACCAGCUGGCUGCAACUGUUUAUUAAAAACACAGCACUGUGCAAACACGAAAGUGGACGUAUACGGUGUGACGCCUGCCCGGUGCCGGAAGGUUAAUUGAUGGGGUUAGCGGUAACGCGAAGCUCUUGAUCGAAGCCCCGGUAAACGGCGGCCGUAACUAUAACGGUCCUAAGGUAGCGAAAUUCCUUGUCGGGUAAGUUCCGACCUGCACGAAUGGCGUAAUGAUGGCCAGGCUGUCUCCACCCGAGACUCAGUGAAAUUGAACUCGCUGUGAAGAUGCAGUGUACCCGCGGCAAGACGGAAAGACCCCGUGAACCUUUACUAUAGCUUGACACUGAACAUUGAGCCUUGAUGUGUAGGAUAGGUGGGAGGCUUUGAAGUGUGGACGCCAGUCUGCAUGGAGCCGGCCUUGAAAUACCACCCUUUAAUGUUUGAUGUUCUAACGUUGGCCCCUGAUCGGGGUUGCGGACAGUGUCUGGUGGGUAGUUUGACUGGGGCGGUCUCCUCCUAAAGAGUAACGGAGGAGCACGAAGGUUGGCUAAUCCUGGUCGGACAUCAGGAGGUUAGUGCAAUGGCAUAAGCCAGCUUGACUGCGAGCGUGACGGCGCGAGCAGGUGCGAAAGCAGGUCAUAGUGAUCCGGUGGUUCUGAAUGGAAGGGCCAUCGCUCAACGGAUAAAAGGUACUCCGGGGAUAACAGGCUGAUACCGCCCAAGAGUUCAUAUCGACGGCGGUGUUUGGCACCUCGAUGUCGGCUCAUCACAUCCUGGGGCUGAAGUAGGUCCCAAGGGUAUGGCUGUUCGCCAUUUAAAGUGGUACGCGAGCUGGGUUUAGAACGUCGUGAGACAGUUCGGUCCCUAUCUGCCGUGGGCGCUGGAGAACUGAGGGGGGCUGCUCCUAGUACGAGAGGACCGGAGUGGACGCAUCACUGGUGUUCGGGUUGUCAUGCCAAUGGCACUGCCCGGUAGCUAAAUGCGGAAGAGAUAAGUGCUGAAAGCAUCUAAGCACGAAACUUGCCCCGAGAUGAGUUCUCCCUGACUCCUUGAGAGUCCUGAAGGAACGUUGAAGACGACGACGUUGAUAGGCCGGGUGUGUAAGCGCAGCGAUGCGUUGAGCUAACCGGUACUAAUGAACCGUGAGGCUUAACCUUACAACGCCGAAG
rnacentral:rRNA from 1 species